ACGGGUGAGUAAUACAUCGGAACGUAUCCUGGAGUGGGGGAUAGCCCGGCGAAAGCCGGAUUAAUACCGCAUACGCUCUGAGGAGGAAAGCGGGGGACCUUCGGGCCUCGCGCUCAAGGGGCGGCCGAUGGCGGAUUAGGUAGUUGGUGGGGUAAAGGCCUACCAAGCCGACGAUCCGUAGCUGGUCUGAGAGGACGACCAGCCACAUUGGGACUGAGACACGGCCCAGACUCCUACGGGAGGCAGCAGUGGGGAAUUUUGGACAAUGGGGGCAACCCUGAUCCAGCAAUGCCGCGUGUGUGAAGAAGGCCUUCGGGUUGUAAAGCACUUUUGUCCGGAAAGAAAUCAUCGGGGCCAAUACCCCUGGUGGAUGACGGUACCGGAAGAAUAAGCACCGGCUAACUACGUGCCAGCAGCCGCGGUAAUACGUAGGGUGCGAGCGUUAAUCGGAAUUACUGGGCGUAAAGCGUGCGCAGGCGGUGCUGUAAGACCGAUGUGAAAUCCCCGGGCUUAACCUGGGAACUGCAUUGGUGACUGCAGCGCUGGAGUAUGGCAGAGGGGGGUGGAAUUCCACGU
rnacentral:rRNA from 1 species